UAGGGAAUCUUCGGCAAUGGACGAAAGUCUGACCGAGCAACGCCGCGUGAGUGAAGAAGGUUUUCGGAUCGUAAAACUCUGUUGUUAGAGAAGAACAAGGACGUUAGUAACUGAACGUACCCUGACGGUAUCUAACCAGAAAGCCACGGCUAACUACGUGCCAGCAGCCGCGGUAAUACGUAGGUGGCAAGCGUUGUCCGGAUUUAUUGGGCGUAAAGCGAGCGCAGGCGGUUUCUUAAGUCUGAUGUGAAAGCCCCCGGCUCAACCGGGGAGGGUCAUUGGAAACUGGGAGACUUGAGUGCAGAAGAGGAGAGUGGAAUUCCAUGUGUAGCGGUGAAAUGCGUAGAUAUAUGGAGGAACACCAGUGGCGAAGGCGGCUCUCUGGUCUGUAACUGACGCUGAGGCUCGAAAGCGUGGGGAGCAAACAGG
rnacentral:rRNA from 1 species